rnacentral:rRNA from 1 species
UACGUAGGCACCAAGCGUUGUCCGGAUUUAUUGGGCGUAAAGAGCGCGCAGGCGGCUUGGCAAGUCGGGUGUGAAAUCCCGGGGCUCAACCCCGUGACUGCAUUCGAUACUGUCAGGCUAGAGGUAGGUAGGGGGAUCUGGAAUUCCUGGUGUAGCGGUGGAAUGCGCAGAUAUCAGGAGGAACACCGGUGGCGAAGGCGGGAUCCUGGGCCAGUACUGACGCUGAGGAGCGAAAGCGUGGGGAGCGAACAGG